UUCCAGACUCCUACGGGAGGCAGCAGUGAGGAAUAUUGGUCAAUGGGCGCGAGCCUGAACCAGCCAAGUCGCGUGAGGGAAGACGGUCCUAUGGAUUGUAAACCUCUUUUGUCGGGGAGCAAAAGACGCCACGCGUGGCGUUCCGAGAGUACCCGAAGAAAAGGCAUCGGCUAACUCCGUGCCAGCAGCCGCGGUAAUACGGAGGAUGCGAGCGUUAUCCGGAUUUAUUGGGUUUAAAGGGUGCGCAGGCGGAAAGAACAUGCAAGGGGUAAAAUGGAGGGCCUAACCCUCUCCGAGCCGUUGAAACUGGUUUUCUUGAGUGAGCGAGAAGUAUGCGGAAUGCGUGGUGUAGCGGUGAAAUGCAUAGAUAUCACGCAGAACUCCGAUUGCGAAGGCAGCCUGCCGCAGCGUUACUGACGCUGAAGCUCGAAAGCGCGGGUAUCGAACAGGAUUAGAUACCCCCGUA
rnacentral:rRNA from 1 species